UGUGAUUGUAAAGAAUUAACUUUCCAUAAAUCUGAUGAUGACAGAGUGUUAAUGUGAAGAUACAGAGGAGCUGGACUGAGUGUCUCUACAGAUCUGAGGAGGAUGAUGAUGGUGGUUAUGGUCAUGGUGAUGAUGCUGAUAGUGAUGCCAAUGAUAGUGAUGAUGGUGAUAGAGAUGAAGAUGAUGGUGAUGAUAGUGAUGACAAUGAUGAUGGUGAUGGUGAUAGUGAUGAUGGUGGUGAUUGAUGAUGCUCAUGAUAGUGAUGAUAGUGGUGAUGGUGAUGGUGACAGUGUGUCAGCAAGUCGGAUGUGUUUGUGAUGCUUGUUUUGUGUUUGUCUUUCUCUGUACAGAGGCAGACGGUGUGUCUUUCAGCCCCAGUUCUUCUGCGACCAGCCAUCCAGACGUGCUGCUGUGCUUCGUGGUGUCUUGGCCAGCUUUGUGCUGUUGUGUGCUGCGUAGUUGUGUACCUUCAAGUGUGUGUGUUGCACAGUGUAGCUCUCUUGUGCGGCGGUGCUUUGCUGUGUGGUGCUGCCCCUGUUGUGUUGUGUCUGGUUGUGUAGCUCCUGUGCUGUGUUGUGUAGAGAUGGACAAGUCUGCGGGGCUCCUGAGCUCCCUAUCCUGCCUGACCCAGACCUCCUCCCCGAAACAGCACAAACAGCCUCCUGCACCCCAUACCCGGGGUUUUGGGGUCCCAGUGACAGUAGAGAGCUCAGUCCCCUUCUUGAGUGGGGGGUCAUACUCCCUGGGACCCCUAUACCCCCAUCCUGGCCCCCAAGACUACCUGUCCUUCCCUCCGGCUCACCCCCCUGGCCACUCUGGUUUCCGACACCCCACGCUGGGGGGGUUCCCAGCCCUGCCCCCGUUCUCCCACUCCCCGGCCCCCCACCCCUCGCUCUCGUUCCCCGAGGGGAUGGAGCGCCUCUCCAGCGCCUACGCCGCCGCCCUGGCCGCCACCAUGAGCACCAACAAGAGGCUGGGGUCCCCCGCACCCCCCUGCACCCCUCCCGAGGAGCGCCCCCCGCCCCAGCGCCGCGCCCGAGAGAGAGACCGGCGGCAGAGGGACGACAGCGGGAUGGAGGGCCUGCUGGACGCAGCCAAGAGGGGGCGCCGGACAGCCAGCCCCGACAGCGCCGGACCUGCUGGCCCGCGGAGAGAGAGGUUCAGUGAAGCCCCCCUCUCUCUGCGAUGCCCACUGUGUCAGACUGACCUCGCCCGAGCCGAGCUCCUGGACCACCUGCGCAGUGAACUGGAACACAUGGACUCACUGCCAGCCAGCCUCUCUCAGUCAGAGCACCUCCAGGAGCUGCAGGGCUGUGAUCAGUCUCCCUCAUUGGGGUCGCCCCCUUCCGAAGAUGAGGGGCACAAACUGGACAGACAGCAGAUGUUCCUGCAGGUGAAGACCAACAGAGAGGCUCGUCUGGGAGGUGAGGGGCUGAGAGUAGUCGUGCUGUGA
rnacentral:lncRNA from 1 species